UCUGAGCCGGAGGAUACCCAUUUGUGGCGGCUAGAAUGAGCGCCUUGAUCGAAGUCUCCACAAUGCCGGUCAUUCAAUCUAUCACAUCGGAUUCUUGAGCGCUGCGGGGUGGACCCUGUAUGAUACUGUAGCAUGCCUUGGGACAAAGAUCUCUUGUAGGUAGUGACGGUUGUAGUCGUCCCCACGGAUCCAUUUGACUUGUUUGGGUGUUCCGGUGCUUUCAGGCUUUGACGACCCAAUGUCUCGGAUAGGAACCCGGGAGGUUUUCUUCUGUUGAUGGCUAUGGAUGCUCAGUCACAUUCAGCCAUUUCACAACCACCAAAAAUUUUGACUGUCUGGAACCAAGUGCAAACGGAAAGCUGAAGUUGUUGAA
rnacentral:sRNA from 1 species